rnacentral:rRNA from 1 species
AUUGAACGCUGGCGGAAUGCUUUACACAUGCAAGUCGAACGGCAGUACGGACUUCGGUCUGGUGGCGAGUGGCGAAGGGGUGAGAAAUGUAUCGGAACGUGCCCAGUCGUGGGGGAUAACGUAGUGAAAAUUACGCUAAUACCGCAUACGAUCUAUGGAGGAAAGUUGGGGAUCGCAAGACCCCGCGAGAUGGGAGCGGCAGAUAUCAGAUUAGGUAGUUGGUGGGGUAAAGGCCCACCAAGCCAACGAUCUGUAGCGGGUCUGAGCGGACGGACAGCCCCCCUGGAACUGAGACACGGUACAGACUCCUCCGCGAGGCAGCAGUGGGGAAUUUUGGAAAAUAGGCUAAAGCAUGAUCCAGCCAUUCCGCGUGCAGGAUGAAGGCCCUCGGGUUGUAAACUGCUUUUGUACAGAACGAAAAGGUUUCUACUAAUACUAGGAGCUCAUGACGGUACUGUAAGAAUAAGCACCGGCUAACUACGUGCCAGCCGCCGCAGUAA